rnacentral:misc_RNA from 1 species
GAAAUGCGAUAAGUAAUGUGAAUUGCAGAAUUCAGUGAAUCAUCGAAUCUUUGAACGCACCUUGCGCUCCUUGGUAUUCCGAGGAGCAUGCCUGUUUGAGUGUCAUUAAAUUCUCAACUUCAUCAGUUUUGUUAUGAAACUGUGUGAAGCUUGGAUGUGGGGGCUUGCAGAAUCCAUCAUGGUGUCCUGCUCCCCUUAAAUGAAUUAGCGAGUUCAAACUGGGCUCUGUCUAUUGGUGUGAUAACUAUCUACGCCGUGGAUUGAGCUUAGACUUGCUUCUAACCGUCUGAAAAGACAGCUUUUUGACAAUUUGACCUCAAAUCAGGUAGGACUACCCGCUGAACUUAA